rnacentral:rRNA from 1 species
GCAUAUCAAUAAGCGGAGGAAAAGAAACCAACAGGGAUUGCCCUAGUAACGGCGAGUGAAGCGGCAACAGCUCAAAUUUGAAAUCUGGCGUCUUUGGCGUCCGAGUUGUAAUUUGCAGAGGGCGCUUUGGCAUUGGCAGCGGUCCAAGUUCCUUGGAACAGGACGUCACAGAGGGUGAGAAUCCCGUACGUGGUCGCUAGCCUUUACCGUGUAAAGCCCCUUCGACGAGUCGAGUUGUUUGGGAAUGCAGCUCUAAAUGGGAGGUAAAUUUCUUCUAAAGCUAAAUACUGGCCAGAGACCGAUAGCGCACAAGUAGAGUGAUCGAAAGAUGAAAAGCACUUUGGAAAGAGAGUUAAAAAGCACGUGAAAUUGUUGAAAGGGAAGCGCUUGCAGCCAGACUUGCCUGUAGUUGCUCAUCCGGGUUUUUACCCGGUGCACUCUUCUAUAGGCAGGCCAGCAUCAGUUUGGGCGGUUGGAUAAAGGUCUCUGUCACGUACCUCCUCUCGGGGAGAACUUAUAGGGGAGACGUAAUGCAACCAGCCUGGACUGAGGUCCGCGCAUCUGCUAGGAUGCUGGCGUAAUGGCUGUAAGCGGCCCGUCUUGAAACACGGACC